CGGAGAGGAAUCUAGACUAUCUCAACCGCCGCCCCGCCCGUGCGCCUGCCCUUCCCUUGCGCCGACCGGCCUGCUCUUCUCACCCCGCUGCCUCUCCCGCUCCGUCCUCCUCCCCGCCGACGCCUUCCCGAACCGCCGCCUCCACCUCCCCGAUCCGUUCGGCCAAGGCCGCUGCGCCACUCGACUGGCCCGGUCAGCUGGCCCCGCCCGCGCGCGCCGUACUCGCCCGCACCGGCCUUGCUCCCGCCAUCGGCGUGCUCGGCCGAGAAGCCCCGCCGGCGGAUAUCCCCUCCGCCUCUCCUGGCCUGGCCGGCCUCGGUUUCCCCCUCACCGGCGCCACCUUCUCUCUCUCUGCUCACUCUCUCAAUCUCUCUCUCCCUCCGAGCCGGACGCGCAAAGACCUCCGUGCCGCCGGCUCGCGCCUCAAGCCGCCGCCGCGGAGAGCCACCACCAGUGAGCUCGGCCGGACUUCUUCCCCGCAUGGCCUCCAUCUCCGCCGGCUCCUCUCUCUCUCUCCAGCUCUGUCCCCCAUCUCCCGGCGCCUCCCUCUCCCUCACUGUCUCUCUCUCUCUCUCUCUCUCUCUCUGCGCCGCACGCACGGGCAAAAGCCCAGCCAGCCUUAUCCCUUCCGAUCAGCCGAACCCCAAAUCUCACCGACCGAACUCAGAUUCACGCUGAGGAAGGUCGCUAGGACAGCCGAAGCCGUGAACGCCCGGCUCCGGCGGCUCGAGCACCCGGACCCGCGCUUCCUCCGCUACGCGAGCCCGGUGCCCGCCCACUCCGACCACACGGCCAUCCUCGCGGCGCCGGAGACCCGCGUCACGAUGCUGCCCAAUGGCCUGCGCGUCGCCACGGAGUGGUCGCUCGCUGCGCGCAGGGCCAUGGUCGGCGUGUGGAUCGACGCGGGCAGCAGGUACGAGACGGAGGAGGCCGCUGGCGUCGUGCAUUUCGUCGAGCACAUGCUGUUCAAGGGCACGGGGAAGCGCAGCCAUGGUCGGCGCGAUUUUUGCUUCUUUCUUUGGGGUUGGAUUGAGCAGUGAAGGACGGCGUGGACGAGAUGAUUAAGUACGUUGCCAACGAGCCCUCCGUCGGGCUCUACUUCGUCCAGCAGCACGCCCGGGCGUCCAUGCCCCUCCUCCUCGACGUCAAGGAACCAUUGUUGAAGAUGGAGCUAGACAAUCCUGCAUUUCUUUCUGGUAACUGGUCACAACUUUGUAUAACUUGCAAAACCUCAUUACAGAUAGUCAGACCUGUUCAUUCGAAACAUUACUCUACAUGUGAUCGCUGUGUGGAGCAGUUUGACCAUCACUGUCCCUGGGUAUCUAAUUGCAUUGGAAAGAAGAACAAAUGGGAAUUCUUCAUGUUCCUCACUCUAGAAGUUUUUGCAAUGAUUAUUACUGGUUCAGCUGCCAUUAUAUCUGUUGUCUGUUGAAUUUUGUUCUAUGCCUAUCCUACUACUUUUCAUAUUACACCCCAGAUAGAGAUAAGUAGGCAGCCUUAACAUUCGACACCACCAUGACAUAAGCUUUUACAGUGGACCUUACAAUUUACAGUGGAAGUUUUCGGUGCUUCAUUUGCUGUUUCUGUCGCAGUAAUUGUAAGGGAUCCAGCUUCUCUGUCACCCUUUGGUGCUUGGCUUCGUUAUUCUGCUUUUCACCAUAUUGGGGUGGUUUCAUUUAUCGCAGUGGACCUUUUUCCUUUUCUUUGGUGUUGCAGCUCUAAUAGUCAUUCAAGCAUCGCAGAUCGCCUGUGAUAAUGGAAGAUUUAUACAAGCGGUUACUUAUAUGAACCACAUGUGAUAAUCUCUCUAUAAACAGUACCUGCCCGCGGAGAGCUUCAUUCAUAUCAAGCUCGCUAUGUCCGAACAGAGCAGCUCAGAGGCUGCAGCAAGAUUUGAAAACAGAGGGGGGAAGAUUUUGUUUUUGAAUUCCUUGGUGAAGCCAUCUAAGGCACGGAGGAUCGAAUGUAAUCACAUCUUGCUCAAAGACGAAGAUAUCUAAAACAUCCAACGUGACAUAUGCUGGUUCAUCAUGCGCAAAGUCAUCUACAAGAGUGACAUGUUUUUUGACCACGGAGGUGAAUUAGCUAGCCAUCCGAGGCUUUGUGAGCGGGAG